rnacentral:rRNA from 1 species
CCUACGGGGGGCAGCAGUGAGGAAUAUUGGUCAAUGGGCGGGAGCCUGAACCAGCCAAGCCGCGUGAGGGAAGAAGGUACAGCGUAUCGUAAACCUCUUUUGUCAGGGAACAAAGGCGGGGACUAGUCCCCGGAUGAGGGUACCUGAAGAAAAAGCAUCGGCUAACUCCGUGCCAGCAGCCGCGGUAAUACGGAGGAUGCGAGCGUUAUCCGGAUUUAUGGGGUUAAAGGGGUGCGCAGGCGGCCUGUUAAGUCAGCGGUAAAAGCCCGGGGCUCAGCCCCGGCGAGCCGUUGAAACUGGCGGGCUGGAGUGGGAGAGAAGAACGCGGAAUGCGCGGUGUAGCGGUGAAAUGCUUAGAUAUCGCGCAGAACCCCGAUGGCGAAGGCAGCGUACCGGCUCCACACUGACGCUGAGGCACGAAAGCGUGGGUAUCGAACAGGAUUAGAUACCCGAGUAGUC